CGGCGCCUACUCCACAACAAUAGCCGCCGCCAUGCCUAAAAAAGGAGGAUAAAACCACCGUCGGCUCACGGUGCGGCAGUGUGGAGACCUGUCGUAAUGCGGUGCACCCAGAGCGGUGACUGCGAGGAUAUUCCAGGCGGAGGCCGGAUAUCCGGAGCCUGUCAAUAUGGCA
rnacentral:ncRNA from 1 species